GGGGAAUCUUGCGCAAUGGCCGAAAGGCUGACGCAGCGACGCCGCGUGUGGGAGGAAGCUCUUCGGGGUGUAAACCACUGUUGCCCGGGACGAACAGCCUCUUUCGAGGGGCCUGACGGUACCGGGUGAGGAAGCCCCGGCUAACUACGUGCCAGCAGCCGCGGUAAUACGUAGGGGGCAAGCGUUGUCCGGAUUUAUUGGGCGUAAAGAGCGUGUAGGCGGCCAGGUAGGUCCGUUGUGAAAACUGGAGGCUUAACCUCCAGCUGUCGAUGGAAACCAUCUGGCUAGAGUCCGGAAGAGGAGAGUGGAAUUCCUGGUGUAGCGGUGAAAUGCGCAGAUAUCAGGAAGAACACCCGUGGCGAAGGCGGCUCUCUGGGACGGUACUGACGCUGAGACGCGAAAGCGUGGGGAGCGAAC
rnacentral:rRNA from 1 species